GAAAAAAGGCGUCGGCUGAUAUGGCCUCAGAUCUGGGGAAGGGCCCUCCUUAGGACUGAGCCAUACUAUGCAGCCACUUCUGCACAGUGGGAUAGGACCUCUACUCUCGCCUGUAUUGUUUUAAGAAAACAGAAAGGGGGAACUGUGGUGAGCCGCUUCUGCCGUUUCUGCAGACUAUGGUCGCCAUUACAAGAUGGCGCUGGCUCCGCUGUGGUCUGUGACAAACAACUCCUUAUUUGGGAGAGUUGGCACAUGGUUUUUCACCACCCUAUGAGAAAGCUCCACGUAGCAGCUUCGCAUUGGGGCUUGAGAUGCUUUAUUAAGGCUGGGAGGGGCAUCAGAGAGAGAGAAGAAGAAAUAUCAAGGGCCUGAAUAAACUGCUGAAAGAAGAUUCCUGAGUUGCAUCUUCCUUGCGGGCAAGGGGUCGCGACACUCAGGAAUACAAGAAUACAAAUAAUAAUAAAUGCUAGGAGGAUAUGGAGAAAAAGGAACACUUUUACACUCUCAGUGGGAUGAUUUAUUAGUACAACUAUUUUGGAAAUUG
rnacentral:lncRNA from 1 species